UGACUCCUACGUGAGUCACACAGAAUGUGAGGACAAGCUUUUGUUUUCUUCAUUUAUCUGCACCAGUAACUAGAAAGCAGUCCGUACACUUUCACGGAAGGAAUGAAUGAAGGAAUGAAGGAAUGGGCAGCGCCCGAAACGGAGCGCACAUUCGCCAGAUUCCAAACGACCCCUACACUCUCUCGGAACCGAACCGCCGAAGGCGAAGGAAGGCUGCAGGCCUGCUCGGGUCGGCUCUGCGGCGCGAUCGGGUUCUCGGCCCCCCCGCGGACUCCGUUUCUGCGGAAAGUCGUACCCCCGUUCCGGGCUCUCUCUCUGGGGGAACCUGGGCCCUCCCUGGGGCGAGCGACGCCGGAACUUCCAGAGGGAGAGCAGGAAUUCCUGCGACCCAGGCCCAGCCGAGAGUGAUCUCCACACCCAACAUGGGGCUUGAACUUACAACCCCCGCAAAUCAAGAGUCACCUGCACCACCAACGGAGCCAGCCAGGCACCCAGAGGACCACAGCUUUGACAACGAUCAACCCCUGCCCAGGGAAUGGGGUGGGUGGGGAAUAUUAAAGCAUAUCUAUGUGCCUGCAGUUUAUUUCCUUCUGUUUUAAUCCCAAGCUUCUGUAGACUUAAGUUAAUACACGUUUGUGGUUGUCAACACAAGGGAAAGCCUAUACCGCUGGGUCUGGUAUUUAUAGAUGUUCAAUAAAUGUUUACUGGAUUUGAAUACA